rnacentral:rRNA from 1 species
UACAGAGGUCCCAAGCGUUGUUCGGAUUCAUUGGGCGUAAAGGGUGCGUAGGUGGAUUGGUAAGUCAGUGGUGAAAUCUCCGGGCUUAACCCGGAAACUGCCAUUGAUACUAUCAGUCUUGAAUACCGUGGAGGUCAGUAGAAUAUGUCAUGUAGCGGUGAAAUGCUUAGAUAUGACAUAGAAUACCAAUUGCGAAGGCAG